UUUGGCUUCUAUAGUUGUUUCAGUUCCAAUUUUUAGAGAGAGAAAAUAUACAAAUACAAUUACCUCUCUCUAUCUCUCUCUCUAUAUAUAUCUUUUUCACUUCCAUUUCUCUAUCUGAAGUACAAACACAAAUUCUAUCUUAAUUUUUCAUAUCUACAUAUUUUUGUAGUAUUUUCUUGUGGAAAGAGAGAGAACAGAGGAGAUAGUCUUGACAAUUUUUAUUUUUUUUUGAAAAGGGAUUUUUAGUUCCUCUCAAAAGAACUUGUGUGUUAGGGUUUUGCUGCUGCAGUAGAAAGGGUCCAUAGAAAGAUAUUUCUUCAAAGAACACAUUAAUGGUGACAUCAAGGUAGGUGAAAGACUCAACCAUUAACACUUCCUAUGUUCUAUUAUUUCAUUAUUGUACAUUCCACUUGAGCUUCUACCUGAAAGCAAUAGAGAUUCAGUUCAUUAGUAUUUUAUUUUGAUGCCUCUAUUUCCCCUCAAGUCUGUGGGCAGAAGUAGUGAC
rnacentral:lncRNA from 1 species